GGUGGUUCUCAUGUGAUGCACCCCAGAAUCGGGCUCCCUCCUCUGUUUCCGGGUGCAUCACUGGAGAAGCACA
rfam:Myotis davidii contig126915, whole genome shotgun sequence.